UCACCUAGCAUUCAUGUAACUGGUUUAGGC
rnacentral:piRNA from 1 species